ACCUCGCUAUAUAAAGCCUCAAAGUUACAGGGAAGAGUCACAGGAGACAUCAUCUGAGAAGAGACACAAUAACAGAUAAUUCACAGAAAUGGUUUCAUUCAGCAAUCGCCCAGCGCUGCAGCUGCUUAUGCUGGCGUCACUGACAUGUCUCAUCAUGUAUACUGCGAAAGCUGUUCCUGUUAUCCCAGAAGUAAUCAGACUUCCCAAUAAUACGUGUCCACCGGACAUGGAACCAGGUUGUCUCCGCAUAUGCUUUGGAGAUUGUGAUGGAUUAAACAGUACCACGGAAGCUUGCAUACUUUUGUGCAAGCUUGGAUGUGAUUGCAAAGAUCGAAGUUACGUUCGUACUUCUAAGGACUCUGACAUCUGUGUCCCGCCCUCAAUGUGCAACGUUACCUGUCCUGCAAACAUGACCUUCAACCCAUGCGUCAAAAAGAGUGGACCCACCUGUAAUAGCGAAGAUCCCAUUACAGAAUUACCAUGCUUACCGCGCUGUGUGUGCAAUCCGGGUUAUGUUAGUAAUGGGGGCAUAUUUAAUCGAACGUGUAUUAAAAAAAGUGAUUGUCCACCUUCAAUAAAUUCCAAAAAAUCUAAAAAAUAAAAGGUAAUUAGAACCGCCCAUGUUAUAUGUCAUGCUAACAGUAAAGUGCUGUACUGUGUUAGCCAAUAAAAAAGGCAGUGAAAAAAUAAAUAUAAAGUGGAAUUAAA